rnacentral:rRNA from 1 species
UACGUAGGGUGCAAGCGUUGCCCGGAUUUAUUGGGCGUAAAGGGCGCGUAGGCGGCUCUGUACGUUCGUUGUGAAAUCGCCCGGCUCAACUGGGCGGGGUCAGCGGAUACGGCAGAGCUUGAGCAAGCUAGGGGGCAAUGGAAUUCCCGGUGUAGUGGUGGAAUGCGUAGAUAUCGGGAGGAACACCAGUGGCGAAGGCGGCUCUCUGGGGUAUUUCUGACGCUGAGGCACGAAAGCCAGGGGAGCGAACGGG